rnacentral:rRNA from 1 species
GGCGCACGGGUGAGUAACACGUAGGUAACCUACCCUAUAGUCUGGGACAACUAGCUGAAAAGUUAGCUAAUACCGGAUAAGACCACGGCCUCCUCGGGGGCAGUGGCCAAAGGCGGCCUCUUCUUGAAAGCUGUCGCUAUGGGAUGGGCCUGCGGCCCAUUAGCUAGUUGGUGGGGUAAUGGCCUACCAAGGCUUUGAUGGGUAGCUGGUCUGAGAGGAUGAUCAGCCACACUGGGACUGAGACACGGCCCAGACUCCUACGGGAGGCAGCAGUGGGGAAUAUUGCGCAAUGGGGGAAACCCUGACGCAGCGACGCCGCGUGGGUGAUGAAGGCCUUCGGGUCGUAAAGCCCUGUCGUAAGGGAAGAAAUGUUAUAUGGCUAAUACCCAUACAGCUUGACGGUACCUUACAAGAAAGCACCGGCUAACUCCGUGCCAGCAGCCGCGGUAAUACGGAGGGUGCUAGCGUUGUUCGGAAUCACUGGGCGUAAAGCGCGUGCAGGCGGCUGGCUAAGUCUGGUGUGAAAGCCCGGGGCUCACCCCCGGAAGCGCGCUGGAAACUGGUCAGCUAGAGUAUG